rnacentral:rRNA from 1 species
GAUGAACGCUAGCUACAGGCUUAACACACGCAAGUCGAGGGGAAACGAUAUUGGAAGCUUGCUUCCGAUAGGCGUCGACCGGCGCACGGGUGAGUAACGCGUAUCCAACCUGCCCACCACUUGGGGAUAACCUUGCGAAAGUAAGACUAAUACCCAAUGAUAUCUCUAGAAGACAUCUGAAAGAGAUUAAAGAUUUAUCGGUGAUGGAUGGGGAUGCGUCUGAUUAGCUUGUUGGCGGGGUAACGGCCCACCAAGGCGACGAUCAGUAGGGGUUCUGAGAGGAAGGUCCCCCACAUUGGAACUGAGACACGGUCCCAACUCCUACGGGAGGCAGCAGUGAGGAAUAUUGGUCAAUGGGCGAGAGCCUGAACCAGCCAAGUAGCGUGCAGGAUGACGGCCCUAUGGGUUGUAAACUGCUUUUAUAAGGGAAUAAAGUGAGAGUCGUGACUCUUUUUGCAUGUACCUUAUGAAUAAGGACCGGCUAAUUCCGUGCCAGCAGCCGCCGUAAUAC